rnacentral:tRNA from 1 species
GCAUUAGUAGCUCAGCGCCAGAGCACCGGCCUUGUAAGCCGGCCGUCGAAGGUUAAACCCCUUCCUAUUGCU